rnacentral:rRNA from 1 species
GUGGCGGACGGGUGAGUAACACGUGAGAAUUUGCCUUUAGGAGGGGGAUAACAGAGUGAAAACGCUGCUAAUACCCCAUAUGCUUUCGAGUGAAAUGGAUUUAUUCGCCUAAAGAGAAGCUCGCGGCUGAUUAGCUUGUUGGUAAGGUAAUGGCUUACCAAGGCGACGAUCAGUAUCUGGUUUGAGAGGACGAUCAGACACACUGGAACUGAGACACGGUCCAGACUCCUACGGGAGGCAGCAGUGGGGAAUUUUCCGCAAUGGGCGAAAGCCUGACGGAGCAAUACCGCGUGAGGGAUGACUGCCUAUGGGUUGUAAACCUCUUUUCUCAGGGAGGAAAUCAAUGACGUUACCUGAGGAAUAAGCAUCGGCUAACUCCGUGCCAGCAGCCGCGGUAAGACGGAGGAUGCAAGUGUUAUCCGGAAUCACUGGGCGUAAAGCGUCUGUAGGUGGCUUAACAAGUCAACUGUUAAAUCUUGAAGCUCAACUUCGAAAUCGCA